UUUUUUUUGGUAGUGUGGGGGGCUACAGAGAUAGCUUCUGUAGAAGCUGCUAAAAGUUUCCCCCCCAUGGAGCCAAAGAUGGUUGGCUCCAGGGCAGACUUCCUGGUGCUGACCAGGAGGAGAGCCAAUUAGAAGUUUUAGUAACGCCUCUGUGAUAACAUAUUUAAGAAAAAACUGGUUGCGCAGAAGAAAUUCCAGCCAGGGAAGAACUGACCGAAGCUCCCAGGUGGCCCCGCCACCUCCCUCCCCACAGCGGGGCGGUGGUGGCAGGCUGGCCCAGGGUUCCCGGCACGCAGCCGCUGCGGCCAGAGCCAGGGCCAGGAACGGGUCUGCGGCCCUGCGGAGAGCGGCCCCACAGCCCCCAGGCCCGCCCCGUGAAGCAGCCCGUGCUCAAGCCCAUUCUGCCCAAGUAGCCAAGCCAGGCUGGGCCGAGGGGCGUGGGGGCGCCCUGUGAACUGGGCCAGAGGGCGGCCAGAUCAAGGAUGCUGGAGCAGGUGGAUGAAUGAAAGAGACAGUCAUCCGUGGGAGGCCCAGCAGGGAGUGGGGUCCUGCAGGAGAUUUGCGGCCCGUGGAGAGAGGAGCCCAUGCCAGAGCAAGUUAUUCCCAGGUCUUAGUGAUUUUAGUGGUUGCCUAGAAUCCGGCCAAGGUCAACCCACGACAGCUACAAAGAUGAUGAGAAGAUUGGAACAUCUGUAUUAUGAGGACAGCCUGAAGCAGUCUCAAGAAGGGAUGUCUGAGAUGGGACCUCAUCACUCUCUAUAAGUAUCUGAAGAGAGGAUGUCAAGAGGAUGGACCCAGGUUCUUCUCAGUGAUGCCAAGCAAUAGGACAAGAGGCAAUGGGCAGAAAACGAUGUACAGGAAGUUCCACUUGAACACAGGGAAGACCUUUGCUGUGCAGGUGACAGCACACUGAAACAAAUUGCACGGAGAGGUUGUAGAGUCUUUCUCACUAGGGAUAUUCAAGAAUCUUCUGGAUGCAAUCAUGUACCAUGUACUCCAGGAUGACCCUGCUUGAGCAGGGAGGUUUGACCAGAACACCUAUUGCUGAUCCCUUCCAACCUGCCCCAUCCUAUGCUUCUGUGUUAAAAAAGAAAGAAUUUUCCAUAUAUAUAUAGAUCAACCUAUCUAAUGAACAGCAUUUUUAGCUCUGCUGAAAUCAGUAAUGAAUGUCCAUGGCAGUUAGUGAGAGAAAUUUUAACAGCGAUAGGUCCUUUGAUAAUACUUUAAACAUUGCUACUGAAAAAAGUA